rnacentral:rRNA from 1 species
UCAAGUUAUUAAGGGUGCAGGGCGGAUGCCUUGGCACUAGGAGCCGAUGAAGGACGUGAUAAGCUGCGAUAAGCUUCGGGGAGUUGCACGUAAACUUUGAUCCGAAGAUUUCCGAAUGAGGAAACUCACUUAGAGUAAUGUCUAAGUAUCAUUAAGUGAAUACAUAGCUUAAUGAGGGGAACUCAGGGAACUGAAACAUCUAAGUACCUGAAGGAAGAGAAAGAAAUUCGAUUCCGUAAGUAGCGGCGAGCGAACGCGGAUUAGCCCAAACCAAUAAAGUUUUCUUUAUUGGGGUUGCGGACAUAUCAUAACGAAGAGGUAUCGUAAUUGAAGAGGUUUGGAAAGACCCACCACAGAAGGUAAUAGUCCUGUAUGUUAAACGAGAAGACUUCAGAUAUGAUCCAGAGUACCACGGGACACGUGAAACCCUGUGGGAAGCAGGAGGGACCACCCUCCAAGGCUAAAUACUACCUAGUGACCGAUAGCGUAUAGUACCGUGAGGGAAAGGUGAAAAGAACCCCGGGAGGGGAGUGAAAUAGAACCUGAAACCCUGCACUUACAAGCUGUGGAAGCACAUUUCUUGUGUGACCGCGUACUUUUUGUAGAACGGGCCAACGAGUUACGUUAAGUAGCAAGGUUAAGCACUUAAGGUGCGGAGCCGUAGCGAAAGCGAGUUUUAACUGAGCGUUCAGUUACUUGACGUAGACCCGAAACCGGGCGACCUACCCAUGAGCAGGAUGAAGCGAAAGUAAAAUUUCGUGGAGGUCCGAACCCACGAGCGUUGAAAAGCUCGGGGAUGACUUGUGGGUAGCGGUGAAAUUCCAAUCGAGCCCGGAGAUAGCUGGUUCUCCCCGAAAUAGCUUUAGGGCUAGCCUCAAGGUGAGAGAUACGGAGGUAGAGCACUGAAUGUCCUAGGGGGUAUUGCACCUACCGAAGACUAUCAAACUCCGAAUGCCGUCAUCUUAUACUUGGGAGUCAGACUGUGGGUGAUAAGAUUCAUAGUCGAAAGGGCAACAGCCCAGAUCGUCAGCUAAGGUCCCUAAAUGUAAGUUAAGUGGUAAAGGAUGUGGGAUUGCACAGACAACCAGGAUGUUGGCUUAGAAGCAGCCACUCAUUCAAAGAGUGCGUAAUAGCUCACUGGUCGAGUGAUCCUGCGCCGAAGAUUUCCGGGGCUAAAACUUACUACCGAAGCUACGGCAUCANNNNNNNNNNAUGAUGGGUAGGGGAGCUUCCCAUACGGGUUGAAGCAUGACCGUAAGGACAUGUGGACAGUAUGGGAGUGAGAAUGUUGGCAUGAGUAGCGAGAUGUGGGUGAGAAUCCCACAGGCCGUAAACCCAAGGUUUCCAGGGGAAGGUUCGUCCGCCCUGGGUUAGUCGGGACCUAAGCUGAGGCCGAAAGGCGUAGGUGAUGGACAACAGGUUGAUAUUCCUGUACUACCGAUAACCGUUUGAGAGAAGGGAUGACACAGUAGGAUAAGCUAAGCACACUGUUGGUUAUGUGUGCCCAAGCAUUGAGGCAGUCAAAGCAGGCAAAUCCGCUUUGAUAAUGCUGGGAUGUGAUGGGGAGCGAAAUUUAGUAGCGAAGUAGCUGAUUUCACACUGUCAAGAAAAGUCUCUAUCGAGGUUAAAGGUACCCGUACCGCAAACCGACACAGGUGGGUGAGGAGAGUAUCCUAAGGCCAGCGAGAGAACUGUUGUUAAGGAACUCGGCAAAAUGACCCCGUAACUUAGGGAUAAGGGGUGCCACCAUCCGGUGGCCGCAGAGAAUAGGCCCAAGCGACUGUUUACCAAAAACAUAGGUUUCUGCUAAGUCGCAAGACGAUGUAUAGGAGCUGACGCCUGCCCGGUGCUGGAAGGUUAAGGGGAUCUGUUAGAGCAAUCGAAGCAGUGAACUUAAGCCCCAGUAAACGGCGGCCGUAACUAUAACGGUCCUAAGGUAGCGAAAUUCCUUGUCGGGUAAGUUCCGACCCGCACGAAAGGCGUAACGAUUUGGGCACUGUCUCAACAACAGACUCGGUGAAAUUGUAAUUCCGGUGAAGAUGCCGGAUACCUGCGACAGGACGGAAAGACCCCAUGGAGCUUUACUGUAGCUUGACAUUGGGUCUUGGUACUACAUGUACAGGAUAGGUGGGAGGCUUUGAAACCAGGACGCCAGUUUUGGCGGAGCCAUCCUUGGGAUACCACCCUUGUAGUACUGGGACUCUAACCAUAGGCCAUGAAUCUGGUCUUGGGACACUGUCAGGUGGGCAGUUUGACUGGGGCGGUCGCCUCCCAAAAGGUAACGGAGGCGCUCAAAGGUUCUCUCAGUACGGUCGGAAAUCGUACGUAGAGUGUAAAGGCAAAAGAGAGCUUGAUUGCAAGACAUACAGGUCGAGCAAGGAUGAAAAUCGGACUUAGUGAUCCGGUGGUUCUGCGUGGAAGGGCCAUCGCUCAACGGAUAAAAGCUACCCUGGGGAUAACAGGCUUAUCUCCCCCAAGAGUCCACAUCGACGGGGAGGUUUGGCACCUCGAUGUCGGCUCAUCACAUCCUGGGGCUGUAGUAGGUCCCAAGGGUUGGGCUGUUCGCCCAUUAAAGUGGUACGCGAGCUGGGUUCAGAACGUCGUGAGACAGUUCGGUCCCUAUCCGUCGCAGGCGUAGGAAAUUUGAGAAGACCUGUCCUUAGUACGAGAGGACCGGGAUGGACGUACCUCUGGUGUACCAGUUGUCCUGCCAAGGGCAUGGCUGGGUAGCUAUGUACGGAAUGGAUAAGCGCUGAAAGCAUCUAAGCGCGAAGCCAACUUCAAGAUAAGAUUUCCCACCGCAAGGGUAAGACCCCAGAAAGACUAUCUGGUUGAUAGGUCGAAGGUGUAAGUGCAGCAAUGUAUUUAGCUUAUCGAUACUAAUAGGUCGAGGACUUGACCAA